CCCUUAGAUGUUCUGGGCCGCACGCGUGCUACACUGAGUAAAUCAAUGGGUAAGGGAACACGAAAGUGCAACCUAAUCUUGAAAUUUGCUCGUGAUGGGGAUCGACGGUUGCAAUUUUCCGUCGUGAACGAGGAAUACCUUGUAGGCGCGUGUCAUCAUCACGCGCCGAAUACGUCCCUGCCCUUUGUACACACCGCCCGUCGCUCCUACCGAUUGAGUGGUCCGGUGAGGCUCUGGGACCUGGACGGAAAGAGCGUUUCGCUUGUUCUGUUUGGGAAACUUGGUCGAACCUUAUCAUUUAGAGGAAGGAGAAGUCGUAACA
rnacentral:rRNA from 1 species